rnacentral:rRNA from 1 species
AAGGUGGAUUUGUGAGUAAUUUUGUUAUAGGAUUAUUAGAUGAAGGGUGGAAUAACAUGUGUACAUAUUGCCCGUCGCUCUCGUUUUUGAGAUAAGUCGUAACAUAGUUGAUAUACUGGAAGGUGUAUCUUUUUGG